UACGUGAGGGGCGAACGUUGUUCGGUGUCACUGGGCUUAAAGGGCGCGUAGGUGGCUGCGUAAGUAAGGUGUGAAAGCCCUCGGCUUACCCGGGGAAUUGCGCCUUAUACUGCGCGGCUUGAGGAUCUCAGGGGAAGGGGGAACUCCGAGUGUAGCGGUGAAAUGCGCAGAUAUUCGGGGGAAGGCCGGCGGCGAAGGCGCCCUUCUGGGAGAUUCCUGACACUGAGGCGCGAAAGCGUGGGGAGCAAACAGG
rnacentral:rRNA from 1 species